rnacentral:lncRNA from 1 species
UGGGUUUGGACCGACGGUGCGCGGGGCCGGGCGGGCCGCUGGAGGUGCCAGCCGCGCGCAUAACGGGGAAAGGUUCGGAUCUAUGGUUCGUGCUCGGGCGGGCUAGGUCAGGGCCCGGGGCGGAUCAGAGCAAGUGCUUCAGGUAGGAGAGGUUUGGCUUGGCCCGGGAUGUGCUUGCAGGUAUGGUGCUCGAUGGUGGUGGUCGUGUUAGCGUUGCGUCGGUGCGGGGAUCGGCGCCGGUGACCACGGACACGACGUCGAGUGAGCUCGCCUGGCCAAGGGUUGGGGCUGGCUCGCCAGCGGCCGUCGGCAGUCUCGUGAGUCGUGUCCCUCCCAGUUCACCGGGAUUGGCUAGUGACACAGGUGUUAGUGCCUCCUACGAUGGAGGCGCCGACCCAGACUCGGGGACUGAUGUCGGGCUAGGAGUAGAUGGUGUGUCGUCACUCUUCCUAUCGUGGUUGAGUGCGUUGUGAUGUGAGCGGCGCACGCUGUCUUGCGAAAGGGAUGCCGAGGCGGUUCACAUGGUUGCUCUUCGGCGGGCAAUUGCGGUGGUGGUGGCUCUCCUCCCGGGUUGUGUGGGCAACGGGAGGUGUUGCGACUGGUAGCUCGGACGUGCCCUCUCUCUCGGAGGGGCGGCGUCCUGAUCCGGAUUUGGGGACCUGACAUCGUCGCGUUCCUCAUGGCGGCCUCGUGGUGGCACGGGUGAGUUGCCGAGCGAAAGCUUCAUGCCUUGGCGCCGACGAUGGCGUCACCCGUGGGUACCGCGCUCUUCUUGAAGACGUCGUUGUGGUUCUCUUUGUGUCAUGGCUCCAGGUGAAGAUCUUUGUCCGUGUGGACUCGGCAGCGGCGACGCUCUGUGCCGUUCUCCCUAUUGGGGGCGUUGUCGUGGAGCUUAGGUGUGCUAGGUCGUAGCGUGGGGUGUGUUUAGUUCUCUCAGUGCUCUUUGUUGGUAGCAUAGUCACGUGCGUUCUGUGUCUACCAGUUAUCUCAGGAUUGGCUUUGUAAGACGGCUACCUCACCAUCUUGUAUCGUUCAGUCGUUUACUUCUUCGGGUGUUGCUUUAUAUAUAAAGCGGGGCGAAAGCCUGUUUCGAGAGGGGGCUCCACCACCUGAAUAUAUUACUCAAAGUUGCCAGGACAGAGUUUGGCACAAGCAGGUCUAAAUGUGAAGAAAGGCAUAGGCGCCAAGCAUUAGUGUCAUCCUUAUGACCGGCCUUGGUGAACCGAUGAGACCAGUUGGUGAAGUUGUCGAGGAUGUUCCUGACCGUGGUUUACAUGAUGGAAAACCAUGGCAUUACGGGCGUCCCAGGUCUUACAUAGGAUAGCAAGAACCGAUGACCUCUGAAGUUAUGUUUAAACCAUUCGAAGCAAUGUGUUAUUGGUGUGCCUUAUUGUUCUUAAGCCCUAUUAGGAGGGAAUGCAUUGUGUUAUCAGGUCCAGGCUUCAGUAUUUGCAAUCAUAUUUUUAUGGAUGAGGUGAGGACAUUUAUCAGGGCUUCUGAAUCAAUUGUAUAGCUAGUAGGUGAACAAAUGGUCCAUGACUCCCGUGUGUCAUCAAUGACACUAGUUGGCAACUGGCAGGUAAGAAGACCAUGAGUCUGCUCAUGCAGUGUUCGCUAUAAUGGAGGCAAUGUGAUUUGAACUGGAUUAAUGCGGUUGCUACAUACAUUUGUGGUCCUGGCAGAGGCCAUAGCUGUGAAUAAGUGGUUAGAUGAUUGGAUACGCACUGCACAAGUGGGUAACUUAGGAUGUUUGAUGAGGCCUUCCUUAGCUGAUAGGCCUCACUUCUCUUUUGAAGAGUAUGAAGCUCACUUCAUGGGCUUCGCAGUAGUACUAGCAAAUAGAAAUACCGAGUAUUGAGUUGUGUAGUGGCUAAGAGAUAUUACUACAACAUGUAGGCUCCAGAGUCAUAUGAGGCCUACCGAAGCACAUCAUUUGUUAAUGGUGUAUAGAGGAUUGGGUCUGCUAGUUGGGUAUAUUACUUAAAAAAAAAGACAUUAAUCCGGUUAGGAAGGUUGUUGGUUGUUCAGGCAACUUGCUCAACAAUUUCAUAUGGCCAUUGCACCUUGUGGUCUGAUUAUUUUGAUAUUUUCCAGCAUCUCACAUGCAAUCCAUUUCUUAGUUUUGUUCAUGUGAUUCCUACUUGGCUUCAUUCCUAGUUGGCUUCUGUGGUGACCUCUCUAAUACAGUGCAGAAACUGAACUAGCAGUAGUAGCACUAGAUAUUGUUUCAAUUGGCUAAACUUGAUUCUUUCUUCUUCUAAACACAAUGUGAUUAUUUUUACAUGCAUCCAUCUGUACAUCCACAGUACGGCACCCUUGGAAAAACGUUGCACAAAAGGUGUGCUCCAAAAGUACAACCGGGGAAAAAGAUGGAACAUGAAAACAGAAAGAAGAAUCUGGAGAUGUUCACU